rnacentral:rRNA from 1 species
CAGCAGUAGCCGCGGUAAUACGUAGGGUGCGAGCGUUAAUCGGAAUUACUGGGCGUAAAGCGUGCGCAGGCGGUUAUAUAAGACAGAUGUGAAAUCCCCGGGCUCAACCUGGGACCUGCAUUUGUGACUGUAUAGCUAGAGUACGGUAGAGGGGGAUGGAAUUCCGCGUGUAGCAGUGAAAUGCGUAGAUAUGCGGAGGAACACCAAUGGCGAAGGCAAUCCCCUGGACCUGUACUGACGCUCAUGCACGAAAGCGUGGGGAGCAAACAGGAUUAGAUACCCCCGUAGUCCCUGUCUCUUAUAC